rnacentral:rRNA from 1 species
CAGGACGAACGCUGGCGGCGUGCCUAAUACAUGCAAGUCGAACGGUCUUUUCUAUGGAAGCUUGCUUCCAUUGAGAAGAUAGUGGCGGACGGGUGAGUAACACGUGGGUAACCUGCCCGUAAGAGGGGGGAUAACAUCCGGAAACGGGUGCUAAUACCGCAUAGUUUUCUUGAUCGCAUGAUCGGGAAAGGAAAGACGGCCUUUGUGCUGUCGCUUAUGGAUGGACCCGCGGCGUAUUAGUUAGUUGGUGAGGUAACGGCUCACCAAGACGAUGAUACGUAGCCGACCUGAGAGGGUGAUCGGCCACAUUGGGACUGAGACACGGCCCAAACUCCUACGGGAGGCAGCAGUAGGGAAUCUUCCGCAAUGGACGAAAGUCUGACGGAGCAACGCCGCGUGAGUGAAGAAAGGUUUUCGGAUCGUAAAACUCUGUUGUCAGAGAAGAACAGGUUGGAGAGUAACUGCUCCAGCCUUGACGGUAUCUGACCAGAAAGCCACGGCUAACUACGUGCCAGCCGCCGC